UUUGCCCUGCUUUGGCUGUUUAACGGCCGCCCGUGCAGUGAUGCUGGACUAGAACAGGUCUGGAUCUUGUUAAUGUAACAGCUGGAAGCUUUCCUGUCGGGAUCCCCAUCCAGGUGGUGAGAGGCCCUGCCUGGAAGAAGAGCUGGCUACACCAAGAUGGGGAAUGGAGCAGUGUGCAGCUGCUGCCAGCCAGGCGGAGGCUUUAGGAUUCACUUCUGGACAGGGAAGACAUUUUCCUUUCAAUGCCUCGGGACCCUUCAGCCACUGUAGGAGCGGGGUUGGUGUUGUCGCUGCUGUCAGAUCCUGGACCCGGCAGCUGACUUUUCCCAACUUGAACGGACAUCAGCAGAAGCGGCUUCAAAGAUGACCAAAUGUUGACCCUGCCUUGUGCUCAACUCAGUGCAGAAAGAAACCGUGACACUGAAAGAGAAACACAACCAGGAUGCAGUCCCCGCCCAGAGAAGAAGCAGCCAUUAGUACACAGAGGGUGUGCUCACAUAAGAAGUAAACCUUUUCCUUUAUGGGGAUGUACUUUUACUGAAAAAUCUUUCUUCUGCCAACAUGUGUAAGAAGCAUUGGGUUGAUCAGACAUGCCACCUUCGGAAUGAUACCUGAUGGACAUGGUAAAGGUGACCCAGAAUCCUGUCUCCUCUGGACUUAUGUGGGAAGAGUCUCCUGGGGACACAGACUUUCAGGGCAGCAAGGCCUGAUUGCUGUCCCUAUUUGUGAUCAGCUUGUUUUUAAUUGGAUGACUGUGGGCCCUGGGGCUGAUAUGAUGGUCACAGAUUACAUCUCUUAUCACUCUGCUUUUUUCUAGGUCAUAGUAACCCCCACUGUUGAUAGGAGUAGCUGCUCUCAGAGGGCUGGGGGUUCCUCAACUUGGCAUGUUCAAUAUGAUGGGCCACUCUGUGUCAGAGCCUAUCUUUUGCACUAGGCAGUCUCUAAUGAUGUCAUGAGCUUCCUACUGCCCCAUGUAUAGGAAGAGAUUCCUUUGGAUUUAGGAAUCUAAGCUCUGGACGGUAGCUGCAGGGACUUUACACUAACAUAAGAGUAUUCCAUUCCCUAGACAAUGUUAUUCACAUGCUAAAGAACAUUUUUUUAUUAGAUAUUUUCUUUAUUUACAUGUAAAUUUCUCCAUUCCUAGUUUCCCCUCCAAAAA